rnacentral:miRNA from 1 species
UGGGGGGACAGGAUGAGAGGCUGU